GUGGAAACAUGCAGAUCCUGUUCAACCAACCCUCCAGAGAUUUCCAAAAAGGAACCGUAUCAGGCUGGUGACGUGGAUGCAUGGGGAUCCUUUUUAACCAACCCUCCUGAGCACAAAGUAAACACAGAUGGUAAGGGGAAAGAGCUCAACA